rnacentral:rRNA from 1 species
UACGUAGGGGGCAAGCGUUGUCCGGAAUCAUUGGGCGUAAAGCGCGUGUAGGCGGCUUCGUAAGUCCGUUGUGAAAUCCCCGGGCUUAACCUGGGAAUGGCAUUGGUGACUGUACGGCUAGAGUGUGUCAGAGGGGGGUAGAAUUCCACGUGUAGCAGUGAAAUGCGUAGAGAUGUGGAGGAAUACCGAUGGCGAAGGCAGCCCCCUGGGAUGACACUGACGCUCAUGCACGAAAGCGUGGGGAGCAAACAGG